rnacentral:hammerhead_ribozyme from 1 species
GUCCAACUGACGAGUCCGAAAUAGAACUAAACGUGCGUCCUGGAU